UACGUAGGGCGCAAGCGUUGUCCGGAAUUAUUGGGCGUAAAGAGCUCGUAGGCGGUUUGUCGCGUCUGCUGUGAAAACCUAAGGCUCAACCUCGGGCUUGCAUCGGGUACGGGCGGACUAGAGUGCUGUAGGGGAGACUGGAAUUCCUGGUGUAGCGGUGGAAUGCGCAGAUAUCAGGAGGAACACCGAUGGCGAAGGCAGGUCUCUGGGCAGUUACUGACGCUGAGGAGCGAAAGCAUGGGGAGCGAACGGG
rnacentral:rRNA from 1 species